ensembl:snoRNA
CGCCUUUUCAAUGCAACCUCCGUGGGCCCUGACCCGGGAGCCACGGAGCCUUCUGGAAAGGGCAGGGGAAAAGCGCUGCUUACGGGAGAAGCAGCAGCAUGUUGUGGUGUUUUGCCUAGUUGGGGUGACGCGG